rnacentral:rRNA from 1 species
CAGUAGCCGCGGUAAUACGUAGGUGGCAAGCGUUGUCCGGAAUUAUUGGGCGUAAAGGGCUCGCAGGCGGUUUCUUAAGUCUGAUGUGAAAGCCCCCGGCUCAACCGGGGAGGGUCAUUGGAAACUGGGAAACUUGAGUGCAGAAGAGGAGGGUGGAAUUCCACGUGUAGCGGUGAAAUGCGUAGAGAUGUGGAGGAACACCAGUGGCGAAGGCGACUCUCUGGUCUGUAACUGACGCUGAGGAGCGAAAGCGUGGGGAGCGAACAGGAUUAGAUACCCCCGUAGUCCCUGUCUCUUAUAC